UGAUUUAUUUCCUUUCACUGAGGUCUCUGGGUAAUGCUCCUGAAGAAAACCUUUUGGCUCCUAUUAAUUGAAAAUAAGGGCAGAAAACCCUUAAAAAACAACAGCUUCUUCUUUCCUCUAAGUGCUAUUUACAGAAAAAGCUAUGUUAUCACAGCUGGUUUAGCUGCUUGCUUUACUGUCCAAAGAAGAAAUAGAGUAUUCAAGUGAAAUGAGAACGGGAAGGAGUUUUGUUCCAUGCAAGAACAUGUGAGGCCCAAGUUCCUGGAGUCAGGAAGUAAACUGCUAUAUCUGGUCCUACUGUCUUAAGUCAACUGUCUGCAUGUUGUUCAGCUUCUGUGUUUUAGGAUUGCGUAUACAAGCUCUGAUCUGCGAGCAGGCUCUGACUUUGUGAGGAGCAGAGAUGGGACCUGGGGUAACGCACGCUCCAUUUCUGUGCUGGCUGAUGACAGCAGAGCUGGGUGAAUGACAGAGCUGGAGCCAGGAGGGAAUCAAACACGGCAGCAGCUGCUGCCACGGGCUCCUCGCUGCGACUGCAUGCAGGGGACUUCAAAAGCUGGAGUUCUCCAGGGAUUCCUUGAACUUGUCUUUGUUUUUUCCUUUUGUUGUUAUUGUUGCUCUUUCCCCAGUCUUGACUCUCUGCUUGGCUUUUCUGUAUUGCUGCUUCUUCUUCUCAUCCCUUCUGAGACAAAUUGGGAAGCUGUGAAUAUCUCCUGGUCUCAUGUCUUCAGAGGAUAUGAAUUUUUAGUCAUUAUUAUCAUCCAUAAUCAUCAUUAUUUCUUUGCAUUUAUGUAGUGCUGUGGUCUGGCUAAUGGUUUUAGAGAACGAGGGCAAGGAAGGUCCUAGCCUAAAGGAUUUUACAGUCUAUUUGUGACACAAUCAACAUCACAGUCAGCACAGUCUGGGAGCUGAGGGGAGCACUGGGAUAAUGAAGCCAGAGGAAAAGAAAGUACCAUUUAGAGUGUGUUUUCCUCUUAACUUGUCUGUUUAUUGACUUGCCUUACCUUGCAACAAAAAACUUCUGUGAGUUUGUCUGGUCAGGCGUGAAAUUGGCAGCAGAAAUGUAGAAGGAUAAAGAAACACAAAGGCCAAAAAAAAACCCCAGACAGACUUCAUGCACUUACAUUCAACUCAGGCUGAAUGAGUUGAACGUAAGUGCAUGAAGUCAGUGCCACCAGCACUUUUUUUUCCCUUUAAGGUAUUCUCAUUUGGAUCUGGAAAUUUAGGAAAGCAGAAAUUACCAGUCCAGUGUGGAAGUCAGCCCAUCUCAGCCAGUACCAUGUCUUAGACCACUUGGUUUAGAGAUGAGGACCUCUCUAGCUUGACAGAUUUGUAGUUAUCUGUCCUAAGAAUAGGUCUGGUCUCUGAUGGCUUCAGACACAUCACUACAAACUUUUUAAUUGCAAAACAUGUAUUUUUUCAUGGUACUCAUCCAUACCCUCUCUCUUGUGACACAAAUGACUGUAGGAAAGGGAAUUAACCCACUUAGAAAGACUACCAUUUUCCUAGCUGAUAGCCCCAGGAUAGUGUCAGCCCAUGUAAUCCACUUAAAGUGGGGGUAACACAAUUUUUGCAAAUGAAUGAGUCAUUGGAAUAAAUGCAGGCAUCCAGGGGUUACUGUAAAAUAGAUGGAAUGGAACAACCAUUGAAUUUGCACUGAUCCUUACAUGGGAAUCUCCUGUUUUUUCUAAAGGGACAAGCUGGUCUGGACAGGGACAAGAGCUGCAGAAACAUAAUGCAAUCUAGGAGCAAGGAAAAGUGUCUUCUUUCCUAAUAUGUAGGUCAGAAAAUUGAGGAGAGUGAUUUUUUUUGGGUUCUGUCUGAAGAUCACCUGCAAAUUUCAGCUAAGGAGAUCAUGGCUCUGUUUAAUGGAGCUGGGUGCCAUGAACAGAUUAAAUACACUUCCAUCUGUUUCUGGGUGCAAUUCAGCAUAAUUUAAGGCAGAGCAUGAUCUUCUGUGUCAUUCCCCCUUCCCCACCACACACAUGCACACUAAGAUCAAUGGAGAUUUGCAAAGGUUUUGAUUUGCUAGAAUUUGUGAUGGGACUUAGACAUUUUCCAAAGUAAUGAAUUAUUUGACUCCCACUUCAGGUCAAAAUUGUGAAGUACUCAGCCUUUUCACAGCAAUCAUCCUGAUAAUCUUGUUUUUCUUUACAGAGAAGGCAAAGCCUGUGUACAGCAAGGCAAAGCAGCUUACAGAGCAUUUGUGUAAAAUUUAUUCUGAUUUUUUUCCACAAAAGCUUUUAAGAAUGUCCCUUUUUAAAAGAAUGCUAGGAGAAAAAGGUUUAUCUCUGGGUUAAAAAGAAAAAAACCCUUACAUAUUUGCUGAGUUAUCAAGAUGCCCUCUAUGUUCAUGUUCUCAUUCUUUAAAUUAUAUUUCUUCUGACAAACUCAUUUUCAGUCACAGUAAUGAGCAGAUAAACAAGGGGUAGCAGUGGAUAGCUGCAGAGCGAAUAGAAUAAUUCAGAAGGGGAACUUUUUUCCCUGAAGAGCAUGUCAGCUCCUAAAAAAUUAUGCAUCUAGCCUUGAGAUAUGCAAGCCAUAUGCAUAAAUAAAUAAGCUUUUGAAUGCACACCAUAGGUUUUUGGCAGUGCUGGAGAUACCAGGGUGGGGGGGGGGAAACCUGAAGAAAAAGUCAGUUUUUUCUGACUAUUGAAGAUGUAUAAUUAUUGGGUGCAGUAAUUAGACAAUGAAGCUGUUCCUAAUAAAUCUGUCUUAUGGCUCUUGGAACUUUGGUAGCCAUGAAGAUGAGGUUUGUGUUGUACACUUUACAGUCUACUGCUGAGCAUAUUGUCAGUUUAUGAAAUUUUGAAGAGGAAUGUGUCCAUCCCAUAACUUCACCAUCAGGGGCAGAAGAGACAGAAGUUAAUAACAUUAAGAGAUACAUGGCCUUUUCAACAAACAACUGCAUGACAAAUUGUACUCUUCAUAUAUGUUUCCCAUUUGUACAUACUUCUUUGCUUAUCUUGAAAUCUUUAAACUAAUUUUGAUUCUUGCAUCACACCAGUAACAUCAGUGUGACACUGGGCACUGGCACUAGAGAGAGACAGAAAAGCAAUCAUAGAUUCUCCUAAUCACUCUCCUGUUUUUUGUCUUUGGUUUGGACACAUCACCAAUGCAGUUUUAUUCCUGAAGACCUGGGCACUGUGUUGGCCAACAGAGAGGACAUGCUAAAUGCAGUAAGAAUAAAGCUGAAUUUUUUUUCUACCAACCUGUAGAACCCCAAGCAUUACUCUUAGGUAGUGAGAAGAGAAAUGGAAAAUUGACAGUGUGCAGAGGGACUGGGUGUGUCCUGGGACACAAAGCUUGUGAUGUCCCAUGCUUUACACACCUAGAUCUGCUGCUUUGUGAAAAUGGUGCAAAAAGAACCUGGGUGUUGGUUUUAAUGUAAUGGACAUGGUGGUUUAUACCUAUUGAGAUCUCAUUCAGUAGCACUUGUUUCCACUGUGGGAUGGGGAAGGUAUUUAGGCAUCUGUUUUGGUAGACAACUCAACCACCUCCAUUGCUUUUAUUGGGACAACUUCCAUUCCUACAAGCUUGGUGUAUAAGCAUCUGUAUUUGAAAAAAAAACCAAACCAAAACUAAAUUCACCCUUAUUCUGGACUUGAUUUUCUCAGCAGCUUUUGAGGGUGAUUUCUGAAGAUUAGGUAUAAAUAUCCAAAGGAUUUAGAUUGACAGUAAGAGACUCUGGAUUGAAAUGAAAACAGGGAAAAAUAUAAAAAGAUAAAUUUAUGAUCUUAUAAUUCUGUUGAGUCCCAGCAAGCUAGAGCACAUAAACUUUUAAAUGCUAACAUAGGGAUUUUAAAAUCAAUGGAGUGUUUAAUAGAAUUCUGUACAAUGCAUGCAAAAUUGAGGAAAUGUGGCAACAGGCAAAUUUGGAAUGAGUGAAACCUUGACUGUGGCUUGGUUACAUAAUUAAAACUAGACAAACAAAGGAAAAUGUCAAUAAUCCAACCAAGAAGUCACACAAAUAUAGAUUGGUGUCUCGCUAUCAAGGAAAAAAAAAACAAACUAAUCAAAACAAACCCACAGAUUGGAAAGCAGAUGACAUUUCAGGAACUGGUAAGAAUAAAAAGGAUUUUAAGUAAGAGUCAUAUAUGAAUUGCUCCAAUUAUGCACUGAACUCCCCAGUACAGGAUUGAGUUGAGGGAGCACCUGGGAUGACCUGAUACAUCAUAUGUCUGCCUUCAGGGGUGUCCAGUACUAGAUGUCAAGUUUUCCCUCCUAAGAGACCAGGAGCAGAGGAUUAAAAUAAAAGUGAGAAAUGCAGAUAUGAUGCUGCUACAGCAGAGGAAUUUUUGUUGGGAUGACCUUGUCUGUGAUAUGUUUGGGAGGUCUGAGGCUGAGAGGUUGGCAAAGAUAUCUUAAAUGCAAGAUAUUUAUGGUUUGGCAAAACAAGAACAAAUCCAGCAACAGCCAUGCUGAUUGCAGACCAAUCCUUUCCAUCACAGAACUUAUCUUUCCUACGGAAAGGAACACUAUUCACCUUUGCCUGUAGCUCAUGCCCUGAUGUGCCUUUCCUAGAUGCCCAAAUGGGUUGGUUUUCCUCUGGACCCCUAUGACAACAGCAGACAGAAAAGUGGAAUUUGUCUUGGACAAUUAGGUCCAGCUGAGGGACUGUCUUGUCAUGGAGACACAACAGAAACUGCCUCAGUUUCUGAUUCAGCUACUCCUGUUAUGGGAUCACAACUAAUGUUCCCAUUUUUUUCCAUCUUCCUCUUGUCCUCUUAUACAGCAGAGAUUCAUUCAGGUUCAGCAGACCCUCAUCCGGGCUGGGGCAUCUCACUGGAAAAGCAGUUACACUGCAAGCCUGUUCUGUGAUUACAGUGACAGAAGUGUGCCUGAUCUUAGGAGUUUUAGGAAUUAAAAUGGACUCUGCAAAUAAAGGUUUGAAGAGUAGCUAUUUUCACAGAUUAUGGAGUACUUUAAAAAGAAGUGCUAUGAUUAAAGGAGUCUUGGUUUUAUUUUAGAAGUCAAAGACAUGUCAUACCUUUUUAGCAAAAUGUGAUUAAUACAAAAUUUCACAGUCAAUUCCUAAUAUUAAUAUGAAAAACCAGGCAGAAUAACCAGACUGGAUAAAAAUCCAGUCAUCUGGAUUUUUCACUUCAUCAUGUAUUAAUCCCUCUGAAUGAAAGGUAUCAGAUGCAAUUUUCAGGUAACAUCACAUGAGCUGGUACUUAACAGUUCUCUUUUCUGACUGAACAGCAGUAGGUCUGCUAAGAUUUAGUCCAAUGAAUUUAUUUCACCAGAAGACUCCUGGCUCUAGCAAAUGGCCCCAGAGGAUUCUGGUUUUGUUGGAAUUUGGUUCUCAAAGCACAGCUUCAGUGUGAAUUCUUUGAUGCCAUAUGAAGGCUGUAUUUACAUGGUGACAGUCUCUUCUGCAAGGCCACCAAGGAUAUCUGUGUGGUCCUGGCUGGUUUUAUGGUCCCUUCAGAAAAGAGUUACUGUGACACUUUUAGCUUCUGCCAUGUUUGUAGAAAACUGCCCCACAAAUCCCACAGAAGAGAUGGGGAAGGGUUUGUACCCCAUCUCUACCCCAGACCACUCCAAACACUUGCUAAUACAGUCACACCUCUUCCCUAACCCAGGUAAAAGGUCUGUACACUGUCCAUGCUCAUAAAUUUAUUUCAUACAAGCAGUUUAAGCUCCUAAAACAAACCAAUUUUCUCUCCUGUCUAAAAAUAACAUUGUUAUACAUCAUAGCUAGCACUUCUUUUUUCUUCAAACUGAAAAAUAAUUAAGAGCUUCAUCCUUUCCCUCCGUCUCCCUGCCCAGCUCUAUAUCUCAAUCCAUUUUUGCAUUGCUAUUACCAAUUUUAAUUCAUCCAUAUUAAUCCUGUGGUGACCUUCAAUGAUUUCAAUGCAGUCAGUCCAUGAGAUGAGCCUGUAAGGCUCAGAUGAUUUGUAGGACAGGUUUUUUUUCAUUGCUGAUGUUCUUAAAGAAAAAUAGUAUUUUGCCCAAAGAAGGAUGAAAAUACAUUUUCCUGACAGGCAGAGAGGGAACAUUUUUGUUAUGAUUGAAAAAAAGUCUCAAAAGUUGUGGGUAUAAAAAAUGAUGAAAUUGGGAUGCAAAAUUAUUGAGAAGAGGUUAGGGGAACUUGCUGCACAAGCAAAGUGCCAAUACUCUGGGCCUGUUUCUGCCAGCAUGGAUAUUGAACAGGGAUUUUGUGUGGUAUGUGUUUCUGGUCUCAGAAAUGUGUUAAUGCUACAUAUUGUAGCAUUAACACAUCAGAGCUUGUCCUUUUAAGGCCCAGGAAUCCCCUGCCAUGAUUUCACUGCCCACAAGAGCAGGGGUGGAUGCUCACAGGGGGGCUUUGUGUACCUGUUCACUGCCAGCAGCUGUGGGAAGGCUGUGAGAAUCCAAAAGAUAAACUAGUAUGGAUUUACAAUGGAAAGGGGCCAACACUCACUGUGGUUACUGAGCACUCAGAACACUAUAAAAUCCCUAUGAUGCCUCUAAUUGAAGAAACAAAAUAAAAAGUGUUUUCUCUAUGUAAACACACGAAAUUACACCUUAAUUAAUCUUCUAUUCUGAGAAUGAACUGGUUGCACACAGGGUUGUAGUGUCCUUAAGAACAAAGUCCCUUAACAUUGUUCAUAUGUACAUACAUAUUAUACAGGGAGUGUCACUGAAUGCAGUCAGCUGCUCUUGUAUGUGAGUACUGUUUAACCAGCAGGGAUGACAAAAUCUGUCUGCUUAUUGCUGAUUCUCAAUUCCUGUUUGAUCAAAGCCCCACUGAUACAUCUAUCAAACUUGCUGCUAACUUAAUCCCUACUGCUCUCAUUUCAAAUGACUGAGUCAUUUCCCCUUGUUAUGUUCAGCCUGCUGUAAACACCAGCACUUUCUGUAAGUUUCUCUUUUCAGUCUGCUGUUUAAUAAU